UAGCAAAAAAUGAAAUACUUCAUUUACGGUUACGGCCCGUAAGCAGACAGUGAAAUUCUGUCUUUGCGAA
rnacentral:tRNA from 1 species